AAUAGCGGCGGGAAACUGCCGGUAAUGCCAGAUAAUGUUUCCGAACCAAAGGUGUGAUUCCGCCGGGAGAUGGGCCCACGUCCUAUCAGCUUGUUGGUGUGGUAACGGYGCACCAAGGCUAAGACGGGUAUGGGGUGUGAGAGCAUGCCCCUACUCACUGGGACUGAGACACUGCCCAGACACCUACGGGUGCUGCAGUCGAGAAUCUUCGGCAAUGAGCGCAAGCUUGACCGAGCGAUGCGCGUGCGGGACGAAGGCCCUCGGGUUGUUAACCGCUGUCGUAGAGGAGAAUGGUCGCUCCCAUCUAUUUGAACAAUUCUAGGAGGAAGGACGGGCUU
rnacentral:rRNA from 1 species